rnacentral:rRNA from 1 species
CAGUCGCCACGGUAAUACGAAGGGGGCUAGCGUUGUUCGGAAUUACUGGGCGUAAAGCGCACGUAGGCGGACAUUUAAGUCAGGGGUGAAAUCCCGGGGCUCAACCCCGGAACUGCCUUUGAUACUGGGUGUCUAGAGUAUGGAAGAGGUGAGUGGAAUUCCGAGUGUAGAGGUGAAAUUCGUAGAUAUUCGGAGGAACACCAGUGGCGAAGGCGGCUCACUGGUCCAUUACUGGCGCUGAGGUGCGAAAGCGUGGGGAGCAAACAGGAUUAGAUACCCGAGUAGUCCCUGUCUCUUAUAA